GCUGGAAGCUGGAGGAACCCCACCUUGGACUUCUUGCCUUCACUAUUGCUGGCUAUGCAUCUACCAUACCAUCUCCUCUCUACGUCUGUUGGCUCAUGGAUC